rnacentral:misc_RNA from 1 species
ACCAUCAGCGGCUGUACGUCAUAGUUCUGAAAAUCAAUGGAAUCUCGAAGGUGUUGUCAGUUGAUUGGAAAUUUCAUCUGAGAAAUCGAUAUUGUCUUUGAAUAAAAGGUGCCGGAACGCAGAGGCUCUACCUCAGAACCAUUUGAGACGUUAAAUAUCUACAUUCCAGUGCAAAAUAAUUAACUUGAGCCGUUGUUAGUGUCAACAAACUUUGGCCCACUUUGUAAAGUUUUGGAACUUUUUUUUCAAGACUUAAUUUCUUUUAGACAAGCUGAUUGCUGAUGGCGCGGCCAGCUAGUGCCCAGUCACAGUCGAAGUUUGCUUGGGGCGAUCAUGGAAGUGCAAGACCGGAUAUUCAAUUUGACUUUGGUCAGGAUCCUGGGGUUCGGGAUGACCCAGAUUUGAGCCCCUCUGCAAUGGAUGAUGACUCUGUGUACAUGAGUGGCGACAAGAACAAAUCAUCUGCGGUUGCUACUACUUCAAAAAAUCAGUCAAAGUCCUGCUUUGCUAAAAUUGGCGGUGGAAUAAGAUCACUAUGGGCAACCCGUCAGACAGAGGAUGUGAAGGGAGACAGGGAACUUCAUGUGAAGACGACUCUACGAGAGCUGAUCAUCUACAUCGUAUUCCUGGUCAUCCUGUGUAUCGUGACAUUUGGCAUGACCCAGACUACGAUGUACUACUACACGAAGGUGAUGAGUGACCUGUUCCUGGACAAGACCCACUCUGGCGGCGGAUCUUUCCGUACCAUAACAAGUGUGGAGGAUUUCUGGAAGUUUGCAAAGGAACCACUUAUCAAUGGACUGUACUGGGAGACCUGGUAUAACAACGACACUGUACCCACCGAACAACAAGGCUACAUCUACUAUGAAAACAAACUGCUUGGUGUACCGCGACUUCGGCAACUUCAGGUCCACAGCAACUCUUGUCACGUUCAUGAUGACUUUGCCGAGGUGAUCCGCGAAUGCUACGAGUCUUACGCUGAAAGUUUGGAAAACAAGCAACCGUUUGGUCCAGGUGUUAAUAAUGAAGAUAACUACACAGCCUGGUACUAUCGAAGUCAGGAUGAACUUGAUGGGUCUAGUCACUGGGGUAAAAUCUCUACAUACAGUGGUGCCGGCUAUGUACAGGACUUAACUUCAAACAAGAGCGAGUCGUCGGGUAUCAUCAAUUACCUGUUUGACAAGCGUUGGAUACGUAGAGGCACGAGGGUCCUGUUUAUAGACUUCACUGUGUACAAUGCCAAUAUAAACCUUUUCUGUGUGAUCAGGCUGACGGUAGAGUUCCCGCCUACAGGAGGAGCAAUCCCCCAUGCGACGAUGAGAACAGUGAAGUUGAUCCGCUAUGUUACGGUGAUGGACUAUUUCAUCAUGGCGUGUGAAUUUAUCCUCUGUCUCUUUAUCCUGUACUACAUGGUUGAAGAAGCUAUUGAGAUCAAGAAGCACAAGUUCUCCUACUUCAAGAGCGUCUGGAACAUCCUUGACAUUCUCGUGAUUGUGAUUGCCCUCGUGUGUGUUGCGUUUAAUGUUUACCGUACGCUGAAAGUCGAUGAGCUGCUGCAGGAGCUGCUCGACAAGCCAGAUCAGUAUGCCGACUUUGAGUUCCUCAGCUACGGUCAGACACAGUUUGACAACGCUAUUGCCAUCGCUGUCUUCUUGGCCUGGAUCAAGAUCUUCAAGUACAUCAGCUUCAACAAGACGAUGACCCAGCUCUCCUCCACACUUGGCAAGUGUGCCAAGGAUCUUGCUGGCUUUGCAGUGAUGUUCUUCAUCAUAUUCUUGGCCUUCACCCAGCUCGGCUACCUUCUGUUUGGAACUCAAGUGAAAGACUUCAGUAACUUCCAGAAUUCCUUCUUCACACUGUUCCGUAUCAUCCUUGGAGAUUUCGACUUCGACCAACUUGAGGCUGCUAACCGUGUACUUGGACCAAUCUUCUUCAUGCUGUUUGUAUUCUUUGUGUUCUUCGUUCUUAUCAACAUGUUCUUGGCUAUCAUCAACGACACCUACUCCGAGGUGAAGGGAGACAUGGCCAACCAGAAGAACGAGUUCGAGAUGGGUGACUACUUUAAGAGAGGCUAUGAGAAGAUGUUGAACAAACUGAACUUCAAACAUGACAAGAUUGUUGACAUCCAGAAAGCACUUAAAUCUGCGGACAUAAACAACGACAAACAAGUUGACUUUGAUGAAUGGCGCCAGGACCUUAAAACUCGAGGCUAUGCUGAUGGCGAGAUUGAGGCUUUGUUUGCUAAGUACGAUAUUGACGGUGACCGUGUGCUGGACGAGGAUGAACAGAAGAAAAUGCAGGCCGACCUCAAUGACCAAAGAGAUGCCCUCAAAAAGGAAUAUGAUGAACUGGACAAGAUUGACCGACCAGAGAGUGCACGAAGAUCUGCAAGCCGUGUCAGUUUCAAUGACGACAGUGCAGAAGACAGCGACGACGAAGACAGCCGCACAAAAUCAUCCCGAUCAGGUCCCUCACAGAGUGUUUCAUACGAAGAAUUUACAGUGUUAUCUCGCAGAGUGGACAGAAUGGAACAUUCUAUUGGCAGUAUUGUUUCAAAGAUAGACGCAGUUUUAGUAAAAUUAGAAGCCAUGGAAAAAGCAAAAUUAAAAAGAAGAGAAACAAUGGGUAAAAUCCUAGACAGUAUAACAGAGUCCGACGGGACAAGUGACGAAGUUAAAAGAGAACAAAUGGAAAGAUUAGUGCGAGAAGAGUUAGAAAGAUGGGAUUCAGAGUCAUCUAUAACCCCACAGCCAAGUGGUCGAGGGCCAUCCCCUAGCAGUAGUGGGCACGGUGGGGCCAGAAAUAGGUCACGACCGGAAUCUGGGGGAAAUGCGGAAAAAGAAGAUAAACCGAAGCGGGCACCGCUGCGCCCAUUUUUAUACGACCAUGGUGACAAUAAUACUUCAGAUGUGUAAAAUGUGGUUUAUUGAAAUGUGAAAGUGUGGUUUAUAUAUUGAAUCUUUCACUGUGUCAAACAGUUGAGAUUCAUUUUAUAUUUCCACUGUUAAGGAACUACUUUUGAUGAAAAAGAAAAUUAAUUUUAAAUAUCAACAUUAUGACAUCAAGAUUUUGUAUGUAUGUGGCAUUCUGCACAUAAAAUUGGGAUAAUAUGGAGGAAACCAUUGAAAAUACACGAAAUGAAAAGAAAGGUUGUUUAUUGACAUAUUUGACAGUGGAAUCUACAACAGCCAUUGCUGACAAGAUAGGCUGACUCUGUGACUUUAUACACAAAACCACUGUUUUUAUGUGCCAGUUAUGACCAAUGGACUUUUGAAAAAACAUGAUCAUUCCAGCUUUAUAGAUGUUAUAAUGUGUUAUUUAAAUAUAAUGCACAUGCUAUGCUACAAUAAAUUCUGCAUUUUGAAAAAUUAGUGAAAGAAAAAAAUCCCAUGUUUUUCUGUUUUUCAGUGAAACACGCAAAUAGAAAAAAUUAGGUACUAUAAAUGAAGAAAAAUGAAAUAAUAGGUAAUAGUCUGUGCAAGUUCUUUACUUAAUUCAGGUAAUUGCAUUUAAGUAUUACUAAACAAUUUCAAAAUAAAAAGAAAGUUUAUUAAAUAACCAAGGCCUUUGCUUUGAUUAUUGUCUGAUUUGCCAUGGUUCAGAUGUGUAGGAAAUUAACAACAGGACCAUUGUUUACUGGAGAAUUUACCAUGCUUGAAUCCCUUCUUUGUUUAAGUGACUGCCAAAUCAAACCACAUUAGAAAUGUUAAAUACUAAACUUAAGGCUCUGAAGAAUCUCAUUGAAAGCAAGGAUUAGAUCAGCUAUUGACUACUACAAAUUCUAAGAAUAUUCUUUUAUAUAUUACAAGCAGUCGGUACAGUUUGGCAGUGCACCUAUGCAGUAUUUAUUGUAGCAAAUAAGAAACAUUUUUAUGUUCUGUGUUGUACUAGUCAUUUUAGACACGAAAAAUGUGAUAUGUAAUUCUGUCCAAGGCACUCCGUCCUAAGAAAACCUAUAAAUCUGUGAAAAUCCGUCCUCAGAUUUUACAUGUAACAUUACUGCUGAUUGUUACGUUUUUAUUUUACAUGAAUUUUAUGUUUUAUUCCUAUUUGGUUCAAGAUCAAAUUUUAAAGUGAUUUUACAGUCAUGUGGCAGAAGAAAAAAGCUGAACUUUUAGAUUUGUACAUACCACUGUGUUAUUACAUAAAUUGUCUCAAAAGGUGUACAUUUUUUAAAAUUUAUUCUUUAUAGCAUAGCUUUCACCAUUUUGUUGAUUACCAUCUCGAGUUACAUAUUUGUAAUGGUUUUUAACAACGAUCAAAUAUAUUUGUUAGUCAGCAAUUGAUGUCUUUCUUGAAAAUAUUUUCAAAUUUUAAUUUAAUCUUUUUCGUUAGUGACUGUCACUUUAUUUAAUUACAAUGAUAUUGUACACUGAAAUUCUAGUACAAUAAUAUAUUAUAAUAUAAUAUAUUAGAGCAGUAAACUUCAAAGGAAUAAAAUUAAAUAAUGUCUCGCAUCAUGGAGAAUAAAAAGCUUUUUUGGAAGAAUGAAUAUGCCUCCGAUAUUUGAUGUUUGAAAAAAAAAGAGAAAAAUACAAGUAACUGAUUUUAUUUUAAACAAUCUUCAUGUAAUUAGGUAGCAGUGAUAUAAUUUAUUACACCGGUACCAAGAUUUGAAUAAACUUUAUUCCUAUGGUAAGAAUGCUUUCUCCACAUCGGGUUAAUAAGGAAACUAGACAGGAUUACCUAUUACUGCAGUAUGUUCACUUUAAUAUACCCCCUUAGCACUGUAAAAUUGCUGUUCCAAAACUGAAGCUUAUGCUAGAGGUGUUUCAAGUAAUCUUAAAUUCAAAUGGAUAAGAAGAUUUUUUUUUAUCACAAGUAAUACACGUAAAUGGGAAUAGAGAUCCAUAUUAUUUAUUAAUCAGAACAGUACAGUAAUUGGAAAACAAUGUAUUUUGAAGAAGAGAAAAACUCGUACUUAAUCAUAGAACAGCAUCGCACCUUAUAUAUUGUCAACUUUACUCUCUCACUUUAACAAUUCUGUGUCUUUGGACUGGAAGCAUUUAGUAAACUUAGAAAAAAAGUCACGCUGGUCUUGGUGCAGUAUGGUAAAAUUAUACAAAAAUAUAUGCACCAAGUUUCUUACUAACAUAACUACUUAAUACUAUUAAAAAUGGCAUUGUGAUUUUCUGGAUAUGAUAUAUAAUUGAAGAAAAAAAGAAUGUGUUUAUUGGGUCUUUUAUAUAAGAUGAAAAAGGGCUAUUUCAACAAGUCAUUUUAAAAUUUCUUUUAUUUAUAUUACAGGUUAAGUGUAGGAAAAAUGUACUUGUAAUUUAAAAAGAAAUCUGAUAAAUGCUAAUGUUUUGAAGUGCGUCAGAAAUAGAGUCUUUAAUAAGUUAAAGGAAUAAUAAAGAAGCCAUAAUAUAUAAUAUAAAAUAAAUUAAUGAUUUUAAGGGGGAAAAAAAUUGAGUUGAAUCUCUUCAGACUUGGAUAUCCACUUCAUCAUAAUGUCCUGACCACCGAGUAAAAAAGUAUGGAGAAAGCGUUCAAUUUUAGGCUUCUUUCGGCAUUUUGACUUGAAGAUCUUGUACUACUACCACAUCAUGAAUGCUUUAAAUUAGAAUUUCAAUCCACCAAAUUUUGUCCAAGAUAUACAAGGGGAAUUUAAUCCGUCCAUUAUCUCCUUUCUGUCCACGAUAUUGAAAGCUGCUGUUUUAUGGUAAAAAUUACAUGUAUUUUAUUACCUAAAGGUGUACAUUUUGUUUUGUAUUUUCUUUACGAAUAUAAAAUUUUAUGAAAAAGAUGUAUAUAUUUUUAAUUCAGUAUUAAUUUUGAAUUUUAGUUUAAAUAAAUGCAUGCAACAGUUUAAAAAAGUAUUUAUAAAUGAUAUUUUAAGAAUAGUUAUCUGAAAUAAUCAUAAAAAUAAAACCGAAGUAAAUUGUGUUUUAAUGUUCAAAUCAGUGUUAUAUUUUAUUCUUACUGUUUUUGGAUAUGUUGUUACAGCUGAAGUUAUGUAUCCAAUGUUUAAUUAUUUCAUGAGAGUACCAGUUCUUGUUAAAGAUGGUUAACUAUAGUUAAAUCAGCAGGGUAAUUUUUACCCUAAAAUGAUGGUAUUUAGUGCAAUUGAAACUAUCAGUUCUGUUGAAUACCCACUAACAUUAGACCAUAUUGUUUGGUAAGUUCAAAGUUUUACACUUUCAAAAAAAUGUGUACAUGUACAGUCUAUAGAAUAGAAAAUUCAACAGUACAUUUUUAAAAUGUUUGAAAUAUAUUAAGCACCUUUGAACGCUCUUAUCAUGAAAAGGCACUAUGUAAAUUUGGUAUAAUAUAUAUUGUCCAAAAAUUGUUUGAAAUUUAGAGCUUGAUGACGGAAUGUAAAAACUAAAAGAACACCACCUGUAUACUACAAAAACAGUCUUUUUGAUUAAAAUUAACCUUUAGAAACAAACCAUUGCAUAUGUAAGUUCAUAUUGUCAACAAAUCAAAUCAUUUAAAAAAAAAUUCUCAAUGAGAAAAACAGAUGUUUACAACUAAUAAGGAACCAUCUAAUGUUAUUGGGUAUAAAGUGAUUGGUGGAUGAAGAAUUACGUUGUGGUCUAUCGAAUUAUUUUAGAUACUAUUAAAGUUCUUUAGAAGUUGCA